GGAAAAAAGGCCAAGAAACGCGUGGGCUAUAGCAUUGGUGGGGGGCGUGGGCGAAGUUCGUCCGCGGGACUCGGAAUGGCCCCAGACUUGGCGGUCGGCCUCCGUGUGCCAAAAAUAGGCCACGGGCAUAGCCGCGCCCAAAAAUCAGCCCCCGAAGGUCGGGGUCACAAGACCCCCCAGCGGAAAAAAGGCCAAAAAACGCAUGGGCUAUAGCCUUGGUGGGGGGCGUGGGCGAAGUUCGUCCGCGGGACUCGGAAUGGCCCCAGACUUGGCGGGCGGCCUCCGUGUGCCAAAAAUAGGCCACGGGCACAGCCGCGCCCAAAAAUCAGCCCCCGAAGGUCGGGGUCCCAAGACCCCCCAGCGGAAAAAUGGCCAAAAAACGGGUGGGCUAUAGCCUUGGUGGGGGGCGUGGGCGAAGUUCGUCCGCGGGACUCGGAAUGGCCCCAGACUUGGCGGGCGGCCUCC
rnacentral:lncRNA from 1 species